UGGCAGCUUGUUCCACGGAUCCGCAACCCGGACGGAGAAAGCUCCUCUCCUUCGAUUGAGAUGAAAUCGUCGCAGGUAGAGCUUUUCGGAAUGACCCCGCAGCCGACGCUCUGGAGCUGGAGUGAACAACAGCUCUUUCGAGUAUUAACACUUUCAGCUUAUGA